rnacentral:lncRNA from 1 species
GCGGCCGCUCCGCCCUCACCUGAGCCUGAGGUUGGCCAUGAACUCGGGCAUGGAGACGGUGUCCAUCAGCACGAAGUCUGCCUUGCCGAAUUCCAGGCUCUCCUGCUCCGCCAUGGCGCCAGCGCGGGGGCUCAGGAUUAUUGCGGAUGUCUUGAGCAUGGGACCAUUCUUUUUGCAUCCACCAAAUAACUAUUGUACUACUUUGCAUAUAUAAAUAUGAAAUCCAUACUGGUUCAGUGGAAUGAAGUGAGUUGACAUCUUCUAUUACAAAAUCUACGAGGAAAUCUAGAGGCCUCCAAGGACCUGGCUGGGCUUCAACUCUGGCUGAGUUUGAGAUGAGUAAACCAGACUGAAGGACCUUGCCCAAGGCCUGCUUCAGCUGCCAGCCACCCACACUUGCUAAGAGAAAGGAAAGGAGCUUUGUCACCUCCUGAGGGACUGCCUCUGCCAUCAGAAAACCACCCCAAUCCCUGGCACCAGCAGAGCUGGGUUGCAUCUGACUACCGUUAGCAGCUGUCCUUCAGAAGGAGGAGAUCCACCUGUCUCGAUAUCAGUGUCCUCAUUUGUGGAAUAAAAGCUCUGGAAUAAGAUCCACCCUGAUUUCAGCGGGCGUUCCUGGGUCUUGUAUGCACUAGGUGCCCUCAAUGCUUGGCAACUGGAAUGGGUUAGCCUGGAGGCAUUUAGGCUGUCCUUCUACAACCACAGAAGAGCCAUCACUGGCAGAGAGAUCCUUGGCGCAGUUAAGCAGAGAUCUUCUCAGAAGAGCUUUUGAAUAAAUGAAGUUGUUCAGAAUGGCCUUGUUAAAAUGACUCACUUGUCAAAAAACUAGAUGUGUUGGAAGGCUGGGUUGGAAGACAAGAUGUCUGAGAAGCUGUCCUGCUGCAUGAGGAGUUUCAUUGCUACACACCUAGUCUCUGGGUCCUGUGUUUUUGGCCUCCAGCUUACUUCGUGAACAUAAUAAAGGAAAG